rnacentral:rRNA from 1 species
CUUAAGCAUAUCAAUAAGCGGAGGAAAAGAAACCAACAGGGAUUGCCCUAGUAACGGCGAGUGAAGCGGCAACAGCUCAAAUUUGAAAUCUGGCGCAAGCCCGAGUUGUAAUUUGUAGAGGAUGCUUCUAGGUAGCGACCGGUCUAAGUUCCUUGGAACAGGACGUCAUAGAGGGUGAGAAUCCCGUAUGUGACCGGCCCGCACCUUCUACGUAGCUCCUUCGACGAGUCGAGUUGUUUGGGAAUGCAGCUCUAAAUGGGAGGUAAAUUUCUUCUAAAGCUAAAUACCGGCCAGAGACCGAUAGCGCACAAGUAGAGUGAUCGAAAGAUGAAAAGCACUUUGGAAAGAGAGUUAAAAAGCACGUGAAAUUGUUGAAAGGGAAGCGCUUACAACCAGACUUCUGGGCGGUGUUCCGCCGGUCUUCUGACCGGUCUACUCGCCGUCCCGAGGCCAACAUCAUCUGGGACCGCUGGAUAAGACCUGAGGAAUGUAGCUCCCCUCGGGGAGUGUUAUAGCCUCUGGUGAUGCAGCGCGUCUCGGGUGAGGUCCGCGCUUCGGCAAGGAUGUUGGCGUAAUGGUUGUCAGCGGCCCGUCUUGAAACACGGACCAAGGAGUCUAACAUCUAUGCGAGUGUUCGGGUGUCAAACCCCUACGCGUAAUGAAAGUGAACGGAGGUGGGAAGGGUAACCUGCACCAUCGACCGAUCCUGAUGUCCUCGGAUGGAUUUGAGUAAGAGCAUAGCUGUUGGGACCCGAAAGAUGGUGAACUAUGCCUGAAUAGGGUGAAGCCAGAGGAAACUCUGGUGGAGGCUCGCAGCGGUUCUGACGUGCAAAUCGAUCGUCAAAUUUGGGUAUAGGGGCGAAAGACUAAUCGAACCAU